CGGGGUUUUUACUGUUUAGAGCACGAGAUAUGAGAGAAGCAACAUGCCAACAAUAAGAAGUAGAACAGAGAGAGAGAGUGAAUAGCAGGUGUUUUGAAGAGAGAGAGUGAAUAGCAGGUGUUUUGAAGAGAGAGAGUGAAUAGCAGGUGUUUUGAAGAGAGAGAGUGAAUAGCAGGUGUUUUGAAGAGAGAGAGUGAAUAGCAGGUGUGUUGAAGAGAGAGAGUGAAUAACAGGUGUGUUGGAGAGAGAGAAUAACAGGUGCGUUGAAGAGAGAGAGUAGCAGGUGUGCGGAAGAGAGAGAGUCAAUGGCAUGUAAUUUUUUGGUGCCUGAACCUGCGUUGGCCUGGAGUUGAAACAGUUUUG
rnacentral:lncRNA from 1 species